rnacentral:rRNA from 1 species
AUUCCGGUUGAUCCUGCCGGAGGACAUUGCUAUUGGGAUUCGAUUUAGCCAUGCUAGUCGAGCGAGUUCAGACUCGCGGCGAAUAGCUCAGUAACACGUGGGCCAAGCCUCCCCCUUUCGGCCAGCGGAUACCCUCGGGAAAACUGAGGUUAACAGCUUGAUACAAAACGCCAGCUGGAAUGCGGCGUUUCAGAAAGAGAUCGCUGAGGGAUGCGGCUGCGGC